UGCCAGCCGCCGCGGUAAUACGGAGGGUGCAAGCGUUAAUCGGAAUUAUUGGGCGUAAAGAGCAUGUAGGCGGACUGUUAAGUCUGAUGUGAAAUCCCAGGGCUCAACCCUGGAACUGCCUCUCAUACUGGUAGUCUUGAGGUCGAGAGAGGUGAGUGGAAUUCCGAGUGUAGAGGUGAAAUUCGUAGAUAUUCGGAGGAACACCAGUGGCGAAGGCGGCUCACUGGCUCGAUACUGACGCUGAGGUACGAAAGUGUGGGGAGCAAACAGGAUUAGAUA
rnacentral:rRNA from 1 species